AUGAUUUCCCUAGUAACGGCGAGUGAAGAGGAAAGAGCUCAAAGUUGGAACCCGUUUGGCUUAGCUAAACUGGAUUGUAAACUGUAGAGGCAUUUUCCAGGUACACUAGGCAAAAAAGUCCUUUGGAACAGGGCAUCAUAGAGGGUGAGAAUCCCGUCUUUGGCCUAAGUAGUUGCCUAUUGUGAUAUGUCUUCAAAGAGUCAGGUUGUUUGGGAAUGCAGCCUAAAUUGGGUGGUAAAUCUCACCUAAAGCUAAAUAUCUGCGAGAGACCGAUAGCGAACAAGUACCGUGAGGGAAAGAUGAAAAGAACUUUGAAAAGAGAGUUAAACAGUAUGUGAAAUUGUUAAAAGGGAACCGUUUGGAGCCAGACUGGCUUGUCUGUAAUCAACCUAGGAUUCGUCUUGGGUGCACUUGCAGGCUAUGCCUGCCAACAACAGUUUGACUUGGGGGACAAAAAUUGAUCGGAAUGUGGCCUCUCUCGGGAGGUGUUAUAGCCGGCAAUCAUACCCUGGGUUGGACUGAGGAUCGCAGUGAAUGCUUUCGGGCAGGAUUGCUGGGCGCUUUCGCUAAUAAAUGUUAGAAUUUCUGCCUCGGGUGGUGCUAAUGUUUAGAGGAGGAACUCGCCUAGUAACUCUCUUAUUCACUUAGGUUGUUGGCUUAAUGACUCUAAUGAC
rnacentral:rRNA from 1 species